AAAGUCGUAACAAGGUUUCCGUAGGUGAACCUGCGGAAGGAUCAUCAUUGGAUUUUAGAUAGCCUGGGCUUCCACAGUUGGCUUGACAGAGCUGGCUGUGGGAGACCCAUCCUAUAUCCAUUCCCAGCAAAUUGUAUUUUGGAGGGAGGCUUGGUUGACUGAGCAAUGCGAGAGGACAUGUGGGGAGAAAAGAGCAAACAACUUUCAACAACGGAUCUCUUGGCUCUC
rnacentral:misc_RNA from 1 species